rnacentral:tRNA from 1 species
UGGCUCAGUUGGUAGAGCAGGAUGCUUACAAUGCUAAGAUUGUGGGUUCAAUUCCCAC